rnacentral:lncRNA from 1 species
UCAGGAUGCCAUUUAUGCAUCAAUAUUGAAAAAUCUAUAAAAUGCCUAUUUUGACCAUAAAAUGCCAAAAUUGGUCAUUUUUUGCAGAAAUUUUAAAAUAAAAGUUUAAAUCCUUUAGUUUCAUGCUAUUUGACAAAUUGACACCAUCAAAUCAUUUAGGGAAGUUGCCAAAGUACAGAUUCUAUAUUUACAGAUUUCACCUCUAAGGUCCGAGACCUCAAUUAUUUCGUAGUGCAUUUCUUUUAGAACAUAAAUGAAAAUUAAAAAAAAUCCCACCU